rnacentral:misc_RNA from 1 species
GAUGAAGAACGUAGCGAAAUGCGAUAAGUAAUGUGAAUUGCAGAAUUCAGUGAAUCAUCGAAUCUUUGAACGCACAUUGCGCCCGCCAGUAUUCUGACGGGCAUGCCUGUUCGAGCGUCAUUUCAACCAUCAAGCCCCCGGCUUGUGUUGGGGACCUGCGGCUGCCGCAGGCCCUGAAAAGCAGUGGCGGGCUCGCUGUCACACCGAGCGUAGUAGCAUACAUCUCGCUCUGGGCGUGCUGCGGGUUCCGGCCGUUAAACCACCUUCAUAACCCAAGGUUGACCUCGGAUCAGGUAGGAAGACCCGCUGAACUUAAGCAUAUCAAUAAGCGGAGGA